rnacentral:rRNA from 1 species
UACGAAGGGUGCAAGCGUUACUCGGAAUUACUGGGCGUAAAGCGUGCGUAGGUGGUUUUUAAGUCCGUUGUGAAAGCCCUGGGCUCAACCUGGGAAUGGCAGUGGAUACUGGAAAGCUAGAGUGCGGUAGAGGGUAGUGGAAUUCCCGGUGUAGCAGUGAAAUGCGUAGAGAUCGGGAGGAACACCAGUGGCGAAGGCGGCUACCUGGACCAGCACUGACACUGAGGCACGAAAGCGUGGGGAGCAAACAGG